AUACAACUUCGCACUCCAACUAAAAGAGGGAACGGGUAGGAGAAAGAAAAAGAGGAUCAACUACUACACGACAUAAAACUCCAACAAAAAGGUGCGGAACGGGAGCCAGCGUCUCAAAUUCAACUGAGCCGCGCAGGGGAAUCUAUCGAGGAACCAACAAACAGCAUUUCAAACGGUGCGCGAUACGAGAGACAGAAGGCUGUCGCUCCCCACGAACCCAAACCACAUGCCAAUGUUUGAGGUAGCACAAAACGCACCAUACUGUACCUUGUCCCCGAGGGGCCGGGGGAUACCCACGUACAGGUGGUCCAGGAAGUUGGCGCUGCGCCCCAGGCCCAGGACGGUGUAAGGCAACUGCAGGGAGAGGUGGGCCGACUGGCUCAGCUGGCCGGCUGCAUGGAGGGGAAAAGCAAAAAGGAGCCAUUAGAACCAUUCAGACCCAUAAACAAGCCUCAUAAAAGACACAAAUCAGACCAUCCUAUUCCUACCAUCGCCCAGUCCAGAGGCAUCUGCCACCCCCUACACCACCGCGUCCUCGCCACUGGCUCACGCCCUGCCAAGCGCAGCCGACGUAAAUCACCCGCUUUAUGGUAAUCAGAGAGAGCACCACGGCAACAAAUCAGGAUAAAUGUGGAUGGACUGCAUGGCUGGUCUGGACCUACACUCAGAUGGAAGCACAUUUACAAUGUGCAGCAAGGAAAAGCUUCAAUGACUGAUUAUAGUAGGAUAUUCAGUCCACAUAAAAGAAAACAGAGUGUGUUCUGCCUGGCUAUUAUCUACACAUAUACAGUACCAGUCAAAAGUUUGGACACACCUACUCAUUCAAGGGUUUUUCUUUAUCUGACUAUUUUCUACAUUGUAGAAUAAUAGUGAAGACAUCAAAACUAAGAAAUAACACAAACAAAGUGUUAAACAAAUCAAAAUAUAUUCUUCAAAGUUUGCCUUUGCCUUGAUGACGGCUUUUCACACUCUUGGCAUUCUCUCAACCAGCUUCAUGAGGUCAAGUCACCUGGAAUGCAUUUCAAUUAACAGGUGUGCCUUGUUCAAAGUUAAUUUGUGGAAUUUAUUUUAUUUUUAAUGCCUUUGAGCCAAUUGUGUUGUGACAAGGUAUUUGGUAAAAGAACAAGUCCAUAUUAUGGCAAGAACAGCUCAAAUAAUCAAAGAGAAACUACAGUCCAUCAUUACUUUAAGACAUGAAGGUCAGUAUGGAAAAUUUGAAAGUUUCUUCAAGUGCAGUCGCAAAAACCAUCAGGCGCUAUUACGAAACUGGCUCUCAUGAGGACGGUCACAGGAAAGGAAGACCUAAAGCUACGUCUUCUGCAGAGGAUAAGUUCAUUACCAGCCUCAUAGUUACCAGCCUCAUAAAUUGUGGCCCAAAUAAAUGCUUCACUGAGUUCAAGUAACAAACACAUCAACAUCAACUGUUCAGAGGAGACUGCGUGAAUCACGCCUACUAAAAGACACACCUACUAAAGGACACCAACAAGAAGAAGAGAAUUGCUUGGGCCAAGAAACACAAGCAAUGGACAUUAGACCAUUGAAAAUCUGUCCUUGGGUCUCAUGAGUCCAAAUUUGAGAUUUUUUGGUUCCAACCGCUAUGUCUUUGUGAGACACAGAGUAGGUGAACGGAUGAUCUCCGCAUGUGCGGUUAUCACUGUGAAGCAUGGAAGAGAAGGUGUGAUGCUGUGGGGCUGCUUUUCUGGUGACACUGUCUGUGAUUUAUUUAUAAUUGAAAGCACACUUAACCAGCAUGGCUACCACAGCAAUCUGCAGCGAUACGACAUCCCAUCUGGUUUGUGCUUAGUUGGACCAUCAUUUGUUUUUCAACAGGACAAUGACCCAAAACACACCUCCAGGCUGUGUAAGGAGAGUGAUGGAGUGCUGCAUCAGAUAACCUGGCCUCCACAAUCACCCGACCUCAACGCAAUUAAGAUGGUUUGGGAUGAGUUGGACCGCAGAGUGAAGGGAAAGCAGCCAACAAGAGCUCAGUAUUUGUGGGAACUCCUUCAAGACGGUUGGAAAAGCAUUCCUCAUGAAGCUGGUUGAGAGAAUGCCAAGAGUGUGCAAAGCUGUCAUCAAGGCAAAGGGUGGCUACUUUGAAGAAUCUAAAAUCCCAAAUAUAUUUGGAUUUGUUUAACACUUUUUUUGGUUACUACUUGAGUCCAUAUGUGUUAUUUCAUAGUGUUGAUGUCUUCACUGUUAUUCUACAAUGUAGAAAAUAGUAAAAAAUGUGUAUCCAAACUUGUGGGGUAUCCAAACUUUUGACCGGUACUCUAAGUAUAGAGCUUAAAAGCUUGGGGUUGAAUGCCUGUCUACGAGUAAAGCGCAAGUGUAACUCCAUCUUGAGAGAAUCUAUAUAUUGCCUUCCGCGAAUCUCCAAUGUAACAGUUCGAAACGAGGACCAACUAGACCAUCUCCUCUGAAAUGAAAGCAUGACCCUGCUUUGAGCCCUGUUCCUGCGACGACGGAGCAGGUUAAACUGAGCAGCUUCAGAGCAGUUGCUGUAAAAGCCAACGUAAUUGCUUCAAUCAUACAGAGACGCUCACCUUUUUAAAAUAAGGGCUAUCAUUAAAAAAAAUGUUUAGGGGGGACAAAGGAAGCUGAGAAAGUCAGAAACUGUCAUUACAGAUAUGGUACUGUAUACAUUUAUGUUAAUAAAGUGGCUUGUCCAUUCUAGUGA